rnacentral:lncRNA from 1 species
UGUUGUCGAUUUUUAUUCAUUUUUUAAUCUAUUUAUUUUUGUUUUUCAAUCAAAAUAAUUGUUGGAAUUAAUUAGAAUUUUCUAUGUUAUCAUUUAAAUUUAAUUUCAAUUAUGUAGAAUGUUUUAAUUGUUUCUAACUCAUUUUGUAUCUAAAAUAACUUUAAAGAUACUAAUGGCACCUAAGAAACUUUCGAAGCCCAAAUUUCCAUUUUUUGUAUAUAUGUGGAAGGUUGGUGAACGAGAGGAAGAUGACUA